GGGUUUUGGACUCGACAGCAACUUGUGGAAGCAGUCAGGUCAAGGAUUCCAAAAUUUACUGUUACUUAGGGUCUUAGAUUUGAGUUUAGAUUAUAAAAUAGACUCUAAAGGGUGGAGAAUACCUUCGAGCAUUGGAAAACUCAUUCAUUUGAGAUAUUUGAGAUUAGAGAUGGGUCAUGCAACUCAUGUACCUUCUUCUUUACGGAAUCUAAAGCUUCUAAUCUAUUUGAGAAUUUACUCCUGGAAAAGAGUUCAUCUGCCAAGUAUCUUUAAAGAGAUGGUAGAGUUGAGGUUCCCUAUCUACAUUUUUUUUUAAUUUUUAAAACUUUAGUUAUUGUUUUCCAUUUGUUCCUCAUCAAGAUUAGAGGAGAAAAUAUUUGUUAAAGAAUUCCCACGAUUAUGAGGAAAACAAAUGAAUAUAAUGAAACCUAUGUAUUAACAAUUUGACAAAACAUUCAACUCAAUUGGUAACAAUUUGAAGAAAUAAAAAAUUCAUCAUUUUUUUUUCUAAAAUGGUGUCACCAAUUGAAACCCUAGUGUUUGCAGUUGCAGGCGGUUGCAGGAGGCUAGGGUAAUUUUUUUUUUUUUUAACAAUAUAAAUACAAAAAUACAAAUAAAAAUUUAAAUUUAAAUUGAAAUACUAAAAUAUAUCUAUUAUAUCUAAAUUUAUAUUAUGAAUUUUUAAAAUAAAAAUAUUUUCAAUAAUUUUUAAAUUUUAAAACUAUAUAUUUCUAAUAUAAUUUUUAUAUUUAUUAUAACAUUAUGAUGUUUAAUAUUUUUAUAAUUAUAGAAAAUAUAAAUAUUGUUAAUUUAUUAUUUAACCGUUGUAUAUUUGGUUGUUAAUCUGUCAUACGCAUCCCGCAAACGAGCCGAUUUUUAACCACAGUAUCAGUCAUACAAAUUUCUUAAAACCGCUUAAAAUUACAAUCAACCGCAUCCGCGAAAUCUCGCAACCACAACCGCGAAUCUCGCAGCCACAACCACUACGGUUACACCAGUCAUGUCCUAAGUAAACUAUAAAAAGGGCCAUCAUAAAAACUAACAAUUCUCCGGAUAGUUAUUAAGUUAGACAAUAUAUAUAGAUUCCUCUUAACUAAUAAAAUUAAUUAUUUAUUAAUAAUAUCAACGACUUUAACCGAUUUUAACAUUUAAGGUGAGAGCUAAUAAAAAAUACUAAAUCAUUAAUAAUAUAAAUUUAUUAUUUUGAACAUUUAAAAGGACUAGACACAUAUUAUUUAGGCUCUAAUCUCAUAGUACUGUUUUCAGAAUUUAUUGUUGAUGAAGAACUAGAAGCCAUGGGAAGGAAAAUGGUCAAAUAUUGUGGAGGACUACCAUUAGCUGUUAAAGUGUUGGGAGGUUUGUUAGCUAAUAAAAUCAUGGUUGAAGAGUGGAAAAGAGUAGAUGACAAUAUUAAAACUCAGAUAGUUCGCAGAGAUGACAAAAAUCAAGAUUCGGUUUACCGAGUAUUGUCUAUGAGCUAUGAAGAUUUGCCAAUGCAGUUGAAGAAUUGCUUCCUCUACCUAGCUCAUUUUCCAGAAGAUUACAAGAUAGAAGCAGAGCAAUUGUAUUAUUACUGGGAAGCAGAAGGAAUAAUAACGUCAAGUGUCGAUGGAGAAACCACUAGGAAAAUUGGAGAAGACUACAUAGACGAGCUAGUAAGGAGAAAUAUGAUUAUUGGAGUAAAAGAGGAUUUGAGUUGCAGAUGGGAGUAUUGUCAAAUGCAUGACAUGAUGAGAGAAGUAUGUUUAUCUAAAGCCAAAGAAGAGAACUUUCUUCAGUUUAUCAAAGUCCCUACUACUUCCACCUCCACCAUCAAUGCUCAUACUCCUACCAGAUCUCGCAGACUCGUAGUACACGGUGGUGGUAAUGCAUUUGAUAUGCUGGAACGUAAAAACAAUCAAAAAGCUAGAUCUGUUUUGGGUUUUGGACUCGACAGCAACUUGUGGAAGCAGUCAGGUCAAGGAUUCCAAAAUUUACUGUUACUUAGGGUCUUAGAUUUGAGUUUAGAUUAUAAAAUAGACUCUAAAGGGUGGAGAAUACCUUCGAGCAUUGGAAAACUCAUUCAUUUGAGAUAUUUGAGAUUAGAGAUGGGUCAUGCAACUCAUGUACCUUCUUCUUUACGGAAUCUAAAGCUUCUAAUCUAUUUGAGAAUUUACUCCUGGAAAAGAGUUCAUCUGCCAAGUAUCUUUAAAGAGAUGGUAGAGUUGAGGUUCCUGAUUCUUCCCCGUUCUUUU
rnacentral:lncRNA from 1 species